CACUCCAACUUAUGCUCUCUUCCAGUGCUGUCAUGAAGACCAGAAGUGCUGAAUUAUUGCUGAGAUGAACUUUUACCUAGUUUUCUGCAUGCAAGAGAUAGGGUUUUCUGGGGGAUGAGGGUGGGGGUCACAUUCCUGUGAGAAGUACGUGCCAGGACGGAGAGAUGGAUUGGCUAAUGGCCAAUGAGAAAUCGGGUUGGAGAGCGGAAGAGGAGGGGGUUGGAAGGAGGGGCCAGUUGAGCUGCAAUUAGCCUCAGAAAUGUCGGCUAUUUCUGUUCUUAAUAAAGAAUGAUUCAUUAGAGACUGCGCUUGAAAAUGAAACUUAUUUUAAGACAGAACCGAAACCUGACAGACAGCUCAACUCUCCUCCAAAUCCAGGCUGGCUGAGUUUAAAUCAUCCCGUUCCCUCCCACACAACUGGUCGGACGGACUAUGGCUGAAGCCAAGCUAUCGGAGGAAAGCCUGCUUCAAGAAACGGGAGGAGCAGAAGCGGUCGUGAUUCCAGCCAACUUGGAAAAUACAAAGGUGAUGUCGCAGAAGUGAAGGGAGAGGGGCCGGAUGUCAGCACUCCAACUUAUGCUCUCUUCCAGUGCUGUCACGAAGACCGGAAGUGCUGAAUUAUUGCUGAGAUGAACUUUUACCUAGUUUUCUGCAUGCAAGAGAUAGGGUUUUCUGGGAGAUGAGGGUGGGGGUCACAUUCCUGUGAGAAGUACGUGCCAGGACGGAGAGAUGGAUUGGCUAAUGGCCAAUGAGAAAUCGGGUUGGAGAGCGGAAGAGGAGGGGGUUGGAAGGAGGGGCCAGUUGAGCUGCAAUUAGCCUCAGAAAUGUCGGCUAUUUCUGUUCUUAAUAAAGAAUGAUUCAUUAGA